CUUGGUCAUUUAGAGGAAGUAAAAGUCGUAACAAGGUUUCCGUAGGUGAACCUGCGGAAGGAUCAUUAUCGUACAAAAUGUGUUAGGCAUUGCGAGGGCUGUCGCUGACCGACUCAAGGUCGUGCACGCCGGAGCAUGUCCUCUCACAUAACACAAUCCAUCUCACCCUUUGUGCAUCACCGCGUGGGCCCCCUUUGGGGGGCUCGCGUUUUCACACAAAAUCCCCCCCCUUUAAAAUGUGUAGAAUGAACUCAUUUAUGAAAUCAAUACAACUUUCAACAACGGAUCUCUUGGCUCUCGCAUCGAUGAAGAACGCAGCGAAAUGCGAUACGUAAUGUGAAUUGCAGAAUUCAGUGAAUCAUCGAAUCUUUGAACGCACCUUGCGCCCCUUGGUAUUCCGAGGGGCACACCCGUUUGAGUGCCGUGAAAACCUCAACCUCCUUGGUUUCUUUUGGAGACCAAAGGAGGCUUGGACUUUGGAGGCCUUUGCUGGCAUCCCUGCCAGCUCCUCUCAAAUGAAUUAGCGGGGUCCUCUUUGCCGACCCUUGACAUGUGAUAAGAUGCUUCCGUGUCUCGGUUUCUGGCUCUGUUGCCUUUGGGACCCGCUUCUAACCGUCUAGGUCGAGACAAUGUUCGAGCUCGUCUCCCUUCUCGGGAAACCUUCUCGACCCCACGAACCCUUGGCCUCAAAUCGGGUGAGACUACCCGCUGAACUUAAGCAUAUCAAUAAGCCGGAGGAA
rnacentral:rRNA from 1 species